rnacentral:rRNA from 1 species
UCGCGAAAACUUCACAAUGGGGGAAACCCCGAUGAGGGAAUUCCAAGUGUUAGCACAUUGUGUUAACUGUUCUCUGGUCUAAAAAACCAGAGAAGUAAGGGCCGGGUAAGACGGGUGCCAGCCGCCGCGGUAAUACCCGCGGCCCGAGUGGUGGUCGAUAUUAUUGAGCCUAAAACGUUCGUAGCCGGUCUUGUAAAUCCUUGGGUAAAUCGACCAGCUUAACUGUUCGAAGUCCGGGGAGACUGCAAGACUUGGGAUCGGGAGAGGUCAGAGGUACUUCUGGGGUAGGGGUAAAAUCCUGUAAUCCUAGAAGGACCACCGGUGGCGAAGGCGUCUGACUAGAACGAAUUCGACGGUGAGGAACGAAGCCCUGGGGCGCAAACGGG